GACGAACGCUGGCGGCGUGCCUAAUACAUGCAAGUCGAACGCAGUGGGGACGAGUGAGUAACCCGUGGGUAACCUCCACUCAGCGGGGAGAACACUUGGAAACAUGUGCUAAACCGAUAUUGCUGGAUGGAGCCGCGGGGCAUUAGCUAGUUGGUGAGGUAACGGCUCACCAAGGCAACGAUGCUUAGCGGUCCGGGGAGGUGGAUCGGCAAAACUGGGACUGAGAAACGGCCCAGACUCCUACGGGAGGCAGCAGUAGGGAAACUGCGGAAAGGGACGAAAGUCGGACCGAGCAAGGCGGCGGGAGUGAAGAAGGUUUUCGGAUCGUAAAAAUCUGUAGUUAGAGAAGCGGUAUCUAAACAGAAAGCAACGGCUAACUACGUGCCAGCAGCCGCGGUAAUAC
rnacentral:rRNA from 1 species